UCUAGAAGCUUCGGCAAUGGGGGAAACCCUGACCGAGCGACGCCGCGUGCAGGAUGAAGGUCUUCGGAUCGUAAACUGCUUUCGCUGGGGGAGAAAUGCCUGGAGGUGAAUAAUCUUCAGGUUAGACGGUACCCAGUAAAGAAGCCCCGGCUAAGUCCGUGCCAGCAGCCGCGGUAAUACGGGCGGGGCGAGCGUUGUUCGGAUUCAUUGGGUGUAAAGGGUGCGAAGGCGGUCGUCUAAGUCGAAGGUGAAAUGUCUACGGCUCAACCGAGGCAUUGCCUCCGAUACUGGACGACUUGAGUGCGGAAGGGGAGCGUGGAAUUCCUGGUGUAGCGGUGAAAUGCGUAGAUAUCAGGAGGAACACCGGUGGCGAAGGCGACGCUCUGGUCCGCAACUGACGCUCAUGCACGAAAGCCAGGGGAGCGAACGGG
rnacentral:rRNA from 1 species